UCCCUCCAGAUUCUUUACCCCUUGACCUGAAUCUUGAUCUGAGUGGCUACAAAAACAAGAAAAGGAAAACUGGAGUGGACUUGUAGUCUUUAGGACAAACAAGCUCAUUUAACACGUAU
rnacentral:snoRNA from 1 species